ACUACCCGCUGAACUUAAGCAUAUCAAUAAGCGGAGGAAAAGAAACUAACAAGGAUUCCCCUAGUAACUGCGAGUGAAGCGGGAAGAGCUCAAAUUUUGAAUCUGGCAGUCCUUGGCUGUCCGAGUUGUAAUCUAGAGAAGUGUUUUCCGCGCUGGACCGUGUAUAAGUCUCCUGGAAGGGAGCGUCAUAGAGGGUGAGAAUCCCGUCUUUGACACGGACUACCAGUGCUAUGUGAUGCGCUCUCGACGAGUCGAGUUGUUUGGGAAUGCAGCUCAAAUUGGGUGGUAAACUCCAUCUAAAGCUAAAUACAGGCGAGAGACCGAUAGCGAACAAGUACCGUGAGGGAAAGAUGAAAAGAACUUUGGAAAGAGAGUUAAACAGUACGUGAAAUUGCUGAAAGGGAAACGCUUGAUGUCAGUCGCGUCGGCCGGGGAUCAACCUUGCUUCUCGCUCGGUGUAUUUCCUGGUCGACGGGUCAGCAUCAGUUUCGGUCGCCGUACAAGGGCGAGGGGAACGUGGCACUCCUCGGAGUGUGUUAUAGCCUUUCGUCGCAUGCGGUGGUCGGGACUGAGGAGCUCAGCACGGCUUCCGCUUGUGCUCAGGAUGCUGGCAUAAUGGCCUUAAGCGACCCGU
rnacentral:rRNA from 1 species